UCUCAUGUCAAACACGGUGCAGGUGAGCACACGUUCGAGCUGCAUUCGGUGCAACUCAAGCUGGAGGCCGAGGAGAAGCAGAUCUGCGACCUGGUGGAGAAGCAGGCCCAGCUGAGAGAG